UACAGAGGUCUCAAGCGUUGUUCGGAUUCAUUGGGCGUAAAGGGUGCGUAGGCGGCGCGGUAAGUCGGGUGUGAAAUCUCGGAGCUUAACUCCGAAACUGCAUUCGAUACUGCCGUGCUUGAGGACUGGAGAGGAGACUGGAAUUCACGGUGUAGCAGUGAAAUGCGUAGAGCUCGUGAGGAAGACCGGUGGCGAAGGCGGAUCUCUGGACGGCCCCUGACGCUGAGGCGCGAAGGCUAGGGGAGCAAACGGG
rnacentral:rRNA from 1 species